rnacentral:snoRNA from 2 species
CUGCAUCCACUGAUAGACCUUGGACAGUUUGCUGUUUUUUUUUGUUUGUUUGUUUGUUUGUUUGUUUUUGUUUGCUCUGGGGAUGCAAAAGAGGGAAAUCCCUGCACUUCCUCUCUGUCUUUGUGGCAGCCGGGAUUGAAUUGGGGAAUGCAUCU